CGGAUGUCUGCCGGCCCGGGGCGUACGGAAUCGCGUCGUCGUUGUUAUUGUAUUGCCGUUACGGAGAUAACAAUAACAAUAGCGUAGCAGCCGCUGGCCGCCGUGCGCCACCGAAAAGGCCAAUUAUUAAAAUAACGGAUUUUUUUUUUUUUUUUUUCAUAUCUGGAGCGACGAGAAACGACGUACCGCGGUUUCGCGACGGGGUUAUUAUAACGUUUUUCCCGGCCGGUAACUAUUCUACCGGAAAUCUCGCUCGGACGUACAGAUACAGAUCCUCUUUUUUUUUUUUUUAUUAGAAAGCCUCUAGACGCGGAUACAAAUAUCGUAAGAUUUGCGUUUGAGAAAAUGGAUAGUUUUUUUUUUAUGCAAUUAUUUAACCCGUUCAAAAUACGGAAUCGUAAAAUGUUUAUAGCAAAACAAGUAACGGGCGUAGUAACUAAUCGGACUACAAUCAUUUUGUUUUUUCAUUUUUGUAUCGGUUUUCAUGUAUAAUUUCGUUAUUGUGAAGUUACAAGUUAUCAUUGUCGGCGCAAUAAUACGUAAUGUAUAUUACUAUAGUAAAAUACUGGUUAGUUUUCGGUAAACGCGAAAUAAAUAACAUGGGUAUUAUCCACUUGUCAAUACUUGUCAUCAGCCAUACGCCCGUAUACACAAUAAUCUAUAAUGGUAAAUAAAUCAGAUUUUGGCUUUUUUUAGUACGUUUUUUUUUUGUGUUUUGUUAAACCAUUAAAGUACUGGGGUCCUUGUCCGAAAGGGACGUCUGUCUAGCCGAUACUUAAGAGAGCUCGGUUUUUCAUUUUUUUUAUUUUUUUUUUUUUUGUCAUUUUGCAUUUCGAACGCUUCGGGGAAUUUCGUAGUUUAACUGCGUAAACAACUUCUCGACCAGAAAUCGUGUUCCAAUCGUCGAAUUCGUGAGCCGCGGUUUUCGGUGGUGAAAUUCUACCAUCGACGUGAGGUGUUAGUUUCGGUGCGUCGAUGGGGUCAUUUUCGAUUUUCCUCGUACUUUUUUCGACAACGCGAGAAAACCGUGAAAAAAAACUCGACGCUUUCACCGAACCCCUGUGUUUCAGUAUUUUUUUUUUAAGACGUAGUGUAGUUUUCAACGUUAUUCUGUAUAGUAUUAUUGUUAACCGAUUUCAAAAUACCGAGAAACUUCUCGAUUUGUUAUGAAUUUUGUGUUUUCGCGCGUAACACCGUCAAAUACGCAUCAAUAAGGAUGAUUUUUGUUUGCGUUCGAAACGAGUACACUUUCGAGAUGGGCUGGUUAUUGUCGUAAUAGAGUAACGCAGGUGUUACGGUACAUUCCGUGACUCCGUAGUAAAUGGAUUUUUUUUUUUUUUUUUUAAGUCGAAUUUUUCUUCGACUUCUUUCGGGCUUUUUUGUGUUUUUAGACGGUUAUAUUUUGUUUGGUUUUAGUAUUUUAUUUUAUUUUCAAAGUCGGGUUUUUUUUUUGUAUGUAUAUAUAUACAUAAUAUGGCUAUUUUUCAUAUUGUUGAGUUUUAUUUUUAUAGAGGUUUUUGCGGAUAGAUAUUUUUGACAAUAGUUCACUGUCAUUCCCAUCUUCCUAAAUUGUUGGGGUUAGAUUACCGUAGUCCAUUCAUUUCACACACACACGCGCGCAUAUUUAUUAUUAAUAUUACGCGUACCGAGGUCGGUAUAUAGGUGUACACAAUAAUAAUAUAAUAGAGUGGUCGUAAAUUUUAGUCGAAAUAUUAGGUAGGUAGUAUACCAUAUACAGCAUUAUUAUACUCCUGAGGUGUGUAGCUCAGUGCCGCAGGUAGGCAGGUUACAACAUUAAUAUUUUCAAAGUUACGAUAGGUAUAAUUUUUUUUUUUUUUUUUUUUGGAAUAGCGAUCACCAGUACCUAUCCGUCACACAACCAGUCUUCCAUCCAUCCCGAUAAGUUGCUCGUGCUUUACAAUCUAUUCCUCCUCCCAGACCUUCUGCAUCCUUCUUUACUACGUAUAUCCAUCUCAUUCUCGGUCUUCCAAUGGGUCUUUUUCCUGUCGGGCUCUAUCCUUUACUCCGGAGUAACGGGUUUCGGCUUCUCCAAGCCUGCCCUGCCCAUUGUAGCCUCUCCUCGUUCCUGGUUGCUUCAACGGUGUUCGGUUUUUGGUAUAGUGAUUCAUUUUUCCUAGUCCUCCGACCAUUAAUUACACUGUCCUUCACAGGUCCGAACAUUCUUCUUGGAAUAUUCCUUUUAGAAACAAAGAGUGUGCUCUCGUCGGUUUUUCAGAUUGCCCCACCCUCUGCUCCGAUGUUACAACUGGUCUGAUCAAGGUAGUGUAUGGCUGCUUUUUUAAAUCCUUUGACAGAGAUCGAAACUUAUUACUCGGCGUAUUAGCAGUACACGUUUAGAAAUAUGUUAACCAAAGUUUCAAAUCUCUAUUAUUUUCGAACAAUAAUAAUCGUUUAUAACAUCGCGGUUCCAGUAAUCAAAUCAACGUGUGAAUAUAUCAUUGAAAUAUACAAUUGUGUUUCGCAAUAUUAUAAGCGCGUAUAUUUUGUUUGCGUAGUGUUUAAAAUGCAUUUCGAUCGUUUUACUAGUACCGCUAAGGACAGACUAACGUUUGUGUAGAAUGCAGACUGCGCGAGUGUUUUUACAAACACCGAAAACCAUAAAUGAUCACCUAUAGGUACUAGCGAUUUUCUGAUAUAGGUAUUAUACUUAUACUCAGAUAAACAGCGAAUUGUUAAAAAAACGCAAAUAUACUCGUAUUGUAUCAUACAACUUGUACGGUUUACACU